rnacentral:rRNA from 1 species
AGUCGAGCGGCAGCGGGAAGUAGCUUGCUACUUUGCCGGCGAGCGGCGGACGGGUGAGUAAUGUCUGGGGAUCUGCCCGAUGGAGGGGGAUAACUACUGGAAACGGUAGCUAAUACCGCAUAACGUCGCAAGACCAAAGUGGGGGACCUUCGGGCCUCACACCAUCGGAUGAACCCAGAUGGGAUUAGCUAGUAGGUGGGGUAACGGCUCACCUAGGCGACGAUCCCUAGCUGGUCUGAGAGGAUGACCAGCCACACUGGAACUGAGACACGGUCCAGACUCCUACGGGAGGCAGCAGUGGGGAAUAUUGCACAAUGGGCGCAAGCCUGAUGCAGCCAUGCCGCGUGUAUGAAGAAGGCCUUCGGGUUGUAAAGUACUUUCAGCGGGGAGGAAGGGAUGGAGCUUAAUACGCUCUGUCAUUGACGUUACCCGCAGAAGAAGCACCGGCUAACUCCGUGCCAGCAGCCGCGGUAAUACGGAGGGUGCAAGCGUUAAUCGGAAUUACUGGGCGUAAAGCGCACGCAGGCGGUCUGUUAAGUCAGAUGUGAAAUCCCCGGGCUCAACCUGGGAACUGCAUUUGAAACUGGCAGGCUAGAGUCUUGUAGAGGGGGGUAGAAUUCCAGGUGUAGCGGUGAAAUGCGUAGAGAUCUGGAAGAAUACCG